UGGGGAAUAUUGCACAAUGGGCGCAAGCCUGAUGCAGCCAUGCCGCGUGUAUGAAGAAGGCCUUCGGGUUGUAAAGUACUUUCAGGCGGGAGGAAGGUGGUAAGGUUAAUAACCUUAUCAAUUGACGUUACCGACAGAAGAAGCACCGGCUAACUCCGUGCCAGCAGCCGCGGUAAUACGGAGGGUGCAAGCGUUAAUCGGAAUUACUGGGCGUAAAGCGCACGCAGGCGGUUGAUUGAGUCAGAUGUGAAAUCCCCGGGCUCAACCUGGGAACUGCAUCUGAUACUGGCAAGCUUGAGUCUCGUAGAGGGGGGUAGAAUUCCAGGUGUAGCGGUGAAAUGCGUAGAGAUCUGGAGGAAUACCGGUGGCGAAGGCGGCCCCCUGGACGAAGACUGACGCUCAGGUGCGAAAGCGUGGGGAGCAAACAGG
rnacentral:rRNA from 1 species